GUACACUCCUGCGGGAGGCAGCAGUGAGGAAUAUUGGACAAUGGGUGGAAGCCUGAUCCAGCCAUCCCGCGUGCAGGAAGACGGCCCUAUGGGUUGUAAACUGCUUUUAUCUGGGGAUAAACCUACUUACGUGUAAGUAGCUGAAGGUACCAGAAGGAUAAGCACCGGCUAACUCCGUGCCAGCAGCCGCGGUAAUACGGAGGGUGCAAGCGUUAUCCGGAUUUAUUGGGUUUAAAGGGUCCGUAGGCGGACUGAUAAGUCAGUGGUGAAAUCCGACAGCUUAACUGUCGAACUGCCAUUGAUACUGUUAGUCUUGAGUAAGGUUGAAGUGGCUGGAAUAAGUAGUGUAGCGGUGAAAUGCAUAGAUAUUACUUAGAACACCAAUUGCGAAGGCAGGUCACUAAGUCUUAACUGACGCUGAUGGACGAAAGCGUGGGGAGCGAACAGGAUUAGAAACCCGAGUAGUCCCAUGA
rnacentral:rRNA from 1 species